UAGGGAAUCUUCCGCAAUGGACGCAAGUCUGACGGAGCAACGCCGCGUGAGUGAAGAAGGAUUUCGGUUCGUAAAACUCUGUUGUUAGAGAAGAACAGCGCAUAGAGUAACUGUUAUGCGUGUGACGGUAUCUAACCAGAAAGCCACGGCUAACUACGUGCCAGCAGCCGCGGUAAUACGUAGGUGGCAAGCGUUGUCCGGAUUUAUUGGGCGUAAAGCGAGCGCAGGCGGUCAAUCAAGUCUGAUGUGAAAGCCCCCGGCUCAACCGGGGAGGGUCAUUGGAAACUGGUUGACUUGAGUGCAGAAGAGGAGAGUGGAAUUCCAUGUGUAGCGGUGAAAUGCGUAGAUAUAUGGAGGAACACCAGUGGCGAAGGCGACUCUCUGGUCUGUAACUGACGCUGAGGCUCGAAAGCGUGGGUAGCAAACAGG
rnacentral:rRNA from 1 species